GACGAACGCUGGCGGCGUGCUUAACACAUGCAAGUCGAACGGUAAGGCUCCAGCUUGCUGGGGUACACGAGUGGCGAACGGGUGAGUAACACGUGGGUGACCUGCCCUGCACUUCGGGAUAAGCCUGGGAAACUGGGUCUAAUACCGGAUAGGACUGCACCGUGAGGGUGUGGUGGAAAGUUUUUUCGGUGUGGGAUGGGCCCGCGGCCUAUCAGCUUGUUGGUGGGGUAAUGGCCUACCAAGGCGGCGACGGGUAGCCGGCCUGAGAGGGUGGACGGCCACAUUGGGACUGAGACACGGCCCAGACUCCUACGGGAGGCAGCAGUGGGGAAUAUUGCACAAUGGGCGGAAGCCUGAUGCAGCGACGCCGCGUGGGGGAUGACGGCCUUCGGGUUGUAAACUCCUUUCACCAUCGACGAAGGGUUUCUGACGGUAGAUGGAGAAGAAGCACCGGCUAACUACGUGCCAGCAGCCGCGGUAAUACGUAGGGUGCGAGCGUUGUCCGGAAUUACUGGGCGUAAAGAGCUCGUAGGUGGUUUGUCGCGUCGUCUGUGAAAUUCCGGGGCUUAACUCCGGGCGUGCAGGCGAUACGGGCAUAACUUGAGUACUGUAGGGGAGACUGGAAUUCCUGGUGUAGCAGUGAAAUGCGCAGAUAUCAGGAGGAACACCGGUGGCGAAGGCGGGUCUCUGGGCAGUAACUGACGCUGAGGAGCGAAAGCAUGGGGAGCGAACAGGAUUAGAUACCCUGGUAGUCCAUGCCGUAAACGGUGGGCGCUAGGUGUGGGUUUCCUUCCACGGGAUCCGUGCCGUAGCUAACGCAUUAAGCGCCCCGCCUGGGGAGUACGGCCGCAAGGCUAAAACUCAAAGGAAUUGACGGGGGCCCGCACAAGCGGCGGAGCAUGUGGAUUAAUUCGAUGCAACGCGAAGAACCUUACCUGGGCUUGACAUAUACAGGAUCGCGCCAGAGAUGGUGUUUCCCUUGUGGCUUGUAUACAGGUGGUGCAUGGUUGUCGUCAGCUCGUGUCGUGAGAUGUUGGGUUAAGUCCCGCAACGAGCGCAACCCUUGUCUUAUGUUGCCAGCACGUUGUGGUGGGGACUCGUAAGAAACUGCCGGGGUUAACUCGGAGGAAGGUGGGGAUGACGUCAAAUCAUCAUGCCCCUUAUGUCCAGGGCUUCACACAUGCUACAAUGGUCGGUACAGUGGGUUGCCAGUCCGUGAGGGCGAGCUAAUCCCGCAAAGCCGGUCUCAGUUCGGAUCGGGGUCUGCAACUCGACCCCGUGAAGUCGGAGUCGCUAGUAAUCGCAGAUCAGCAACGCUGCGGUGAAUACGUUCCCGGGCCU
rnacentral:rRNA from 1 species